CGGAACGGGUGAGCAACGCGUGAGGAACCUGCCUCAAAGAGGGGGACAACAGUUGGAAACGACUGCUAAUACCGCAUAAGCCCACGGCUCGGCAUCGAGCAGAGGGAAAAGGAGCAAUCCGCUUUGAGAUGGCCUCGCGUCCGAUUAGCUAGUUGGUGAGGUAACGGCCCACCAAGGCGACGACCGGUAGCCGGACUGGGAGGUUGAACGGCCACAUUGGGACUGAGACACGGCCCAG
rnacentral:rRNA from 1 species